rnacentral:rRNA from 1 species
UGGAAACGACUGCUAAUACCGCAUAAGCCCACGGGUCGGCAUCGACCAGAGGGAAAAGGAGCAAUCCGCUUUGAGAUGGCCUCGCGUCCGAUUAGCUAGUUGGUGAGGUAAUGGCCCACCAAGGCAACGAUCGGUAGCCGGACUGAGAGGUUGAACAGCCACAUUGGGACUGAGACACGGCCCAGACUCCUACGGGAGGCAGCAUG